rnacentral:rRNA from 1 species
UACGUAGGGGGCGAGCGUUGUCCGGAUUUAUUGGGCGUAAAGAGCUCGUAGGCGGUUUGGUAAGUCGGGUGUGAAAUCUCCACGCUCAACGUGGAGGGGCCACUCGAUACUGCCAUGACUCGAGUCCGGUAGAGGAGUGUGGAAUUCCUGGUGUAGCGGUGAAAUGCGCAGAUAUCAGGAGGAACACCGGUGGCGAAGGCGGGUCUCUGGGCCGUAACUGACGCUGAGGAGCGAAAGCGUGGGGAGCAAACAGG